ACGUUUUGAAUAUAUUCGUCUAGUCCUAUAUCAUGUUUUCGACCAUUUGAAAUUUUUACUUUGCAAUCCAAUUUUUCCCUACGCCUAUAAAAGGGGUCUUACACACCAAGCUUCAUCGUCCCUCGAACAUCUUCUCCCCUACUCUUCAUUCUUCCUCUAUAAGACAUUUCUCGGUCUUAACAAUUUCGGUCACUAAAAAUAUUUCAUUAAUGUUCGAGAUAUUCUUGAGUCAUCGGUGAUGCAAUAUCGCUCUGAGCUGUACAAAUUUCA
rnacentral:lncRNA from 1 species